AAUAUUGCGCAAUGGAGGGAACUCUGACGCAGCGACGCCGCGCGAGCGAUGAAGGUCUUUGGACCGUAAAGCUCUGUCCUUGGGGCAGCAGGUCUUCGGCCUUGACGGUACCUAAGGAGGAAGACCUGGCUAACUACGUGCCAUCAUCCGCGGUAAUACGUAGGGGGCAAGCGGUGUCCGGAAUUAUUGGGCGUAAAGGGUGCGUAGGCUGCCUUUUAAGUCAGAUAUGAAAGCCCACGGCUUAACCGUGGGACUGCAUUUGAAACUGGAGGGCUUGAGUAUCGGAGAGGGUAGUGGAAUUCCCAGUGUAGCGGUGGAAUGCGUAGAUAUUGGGAGGAACACCAGUGGCGAAGGCGACUACCUGGACGAAAACUGACGCUGAGGCACGAAAGCUAGGGGAGCAAAC
rnacentral:rRNA from 1 species